GACGAACGCUGGCGGCGUGCCUAAUACAUGCAAGUCGAACGCACAGUUUAUACCGUAGCUUGCUACACCAUAGACUGUGAGUUGCGAACGGGUGAGUAACGCGUAGGUAACCUGCCUGGUAGCGGGGGAUAACUAUUGGAAACGAUAGCUAAUACCGCAUAAUAUUAAUUAUUGCAUGAUAAUUAAUUGAAAGGUGCAAUUGCACCACUACCAGAUGGACCUGCGUUGUAUUAGCUAGUAGGUGAGGUAACGGCUCACCUAGGCGACGAUACAUAGCCGACCUGAGAGGGUGAUCGGCCACACUGGGACUGAGACACGGCCCAGACUCCUACGGGAGGCAGCAGUAGGGAAUCUUCGGCAAUGGACGAAAGUCUGACCGAGCAACGCAGCGUGAGUGAAGAAGGUUUUCGGAUCGUAAAGCUCUGUUGUAAGAGAAGAACGGGUGUGAGAGUGGAAAGUUCACACUGUGACGGUAUCUGACCAGAAAGGGACGGCUAACUACGUG
rnacentral:rRNA from 1 species